rfam:Maruca vitrata MNPV, complete genome.
CAUUUUAAGAGGCGUAUAUUAACAAAUAUACUACAGUCGGACGUUUGUGCCAACAUAUAUACUACACUGUACCAAAAAUAUACUACACUUGCUUCAAAAUAUACUACAACUCCGUUUCAAUAUAACGACACUUUCGUAAAACGGUCUAAAAAUAUGGAAGUAUAUGAGGUAAAUACACGUUUUAAAAACGCUACGAUUUU